AACUUUUAACAACGGAUCUCUUGGUUCUGGCAUCGAUGAAGAACGCAGCGAAAUGCGAUACGUAGUGUGAAUUGCAGAAUUCAGUGAAUCAUCGAAUCUUUGAACGCACAUUGCGCCCUUUGGUAUUCCAAAGGGCAUGCCUGUUCGAGCGUCA
rnacentral:rRNA from 9 species